rnacentral:rRNA from 1 species
CGGUCCUAAGGUAGCGAAAUUCCUUGUCGGGUAAGUUCCGACCUGCACGAAUGGCAUAAUGAUGGCCACACUGUCUCCUCCCGAGACUCAGUGAAGUUGAAAUGUUUGUGAUGAUGCAAUCUCCCCGCGGCUAGACGGAAAGACCCCAUGAACCUUUACUGUAGCUUUGCAUUGGACUUUGAACCGAUUUGUGUAGGAUAGGCGGGAGGCAGAGAAAGCGCAACGCCAGUUGUGCCGGAGCCGACGUUGAAAUACCGCCCUGAUUUGUUUGAGGUUCUAACCGCGACCCGUGAGCCGGGUCCGGGACCGUGCAUGGCAGGCAGUUUGACUGGGGCGGUCUCCUCCUAAAGGGUAACGGAGGAGUACAAAGGUACGCUAGGUACGGUCGGAAAUCGUGCUGAUAGUGCAAAGGCAAAAGCGUGCUUGACUGCGAGACCGACAAGUCGAGCAGAUGCGAAAGCAGGUCUUAGUGAUCCGGUGGCUCUGUAUGGAAGGGCCAUCGCUCAACGGAUAAAAGGUACUCUGGGGAUAACAGGCUGAUACCGCCCAAGAGUUCAUAUCGACGGCGGUGUUUGGCACCUCGAUGUCGGCUCAUCUCAUCCUGGGGCUGUAGCCGGUCCCAAGGGUAUGGCUGUUCGCCAUUUAAAGAGGUACGUGAGCUGGGUUUAAAACGUCGUGAGACAGUUUGGUCCCUAUCUGCCGUGGGCGCUGGAAGAUUGACGGGGGCUGCUCCUAGUACGAGAGGACCGGAGUGGACGCACCUCUGGUGUACCGGUUGUCACGCCAGUGGCAUCGCCGGGUAGCUAUGUGCGGAAGAGAUAACCGCUGAAAGCAUCUAAGCGGGAAACUUGCCUGAAGAUAAGUCUUCCCGGAGGCUAGACCUCCCUGAAGAGUCGUUCGAGACCAGGACGUUGAUAGGUCGGGUGUGUAAGCGUUGUGAGACGUUUAGCUAACCGAUACUAAUUGCUCGUGAGGCUUGAU